GUACAUCAGUUGGCGACGUAAAUUGUACAUAUAACUCAAUAUAAGUUGCUCCAAUAGCAAGAUGAUUCUGCACCAUUGCCUCCAAGCUACGAGCACCUUUUAUGUCGAACGAGUCAUAUGUCACCGGAUCAACACAAGAACAAAAUUGAUACGUGAUUGACAGAACUUUCAUUGGCGUCGUUCCGAAGAUUUUACGCCUAAUUCUUUUACGAAGUUCUGUCAAAUCUAUGUUCUGGUUAAAUGACAGUCGCACCAUAUUC
rnacentral:lncRNA from 1 species